GGUGAAAAGCACCCCGGAAGGGGAGUGAAAUAGAACCUGAAACCGUGUGCUUACAAGUAGUCAGAGCCCGUUAAUGGGUGAUGGCGUGCCUUUUGUAGAAUGAACCGGCGAGUUACGAUUUGAUGCAAGGUUAAGCAGUAAAUGUGGAGCCGUAGCGAAAGCGAGUCUGAAUAGGGCGUUUAGUAUUUGGUCGUAGACCCGAAACCAGGUGAUCUACCCUUGGUCAGGUUGAAGUUCAGGUAACACUGAAUGGAGGACCGAACCGACUUACGUUGAAAAGUGAGCGGAUGAACUGAGGGUAGCGGAGAAAUUCCAAUCGAACCUGGAGAUAGCUGGUUCUCUCCGAAAUAGCUUUAGGGCUAGCCUCAAGUGAUGAUUAUUGGAGGUAGAGCACUGUUUGGACGAGGGGCCCCUCUCGGGUUACCGAAUUCAGACAAACUCCGAAUGCCAAUUAAUUUAACUUGGGAGUCAGAACAUGGGUGAUAAGGUCCGUGUUCGAAAGGGAAACAGCCCAGACCACCAGCUAAGGUCCCAAAAUAUAUGUUAAGUGGAAAAGGAUGUGGCGUUGCCCAGACAACUAGGAUGUUGGCUUAGAAGCAGCCAUCAUUUAAAGAGUGCGUAAUAGCUCACUAGUCGAGUGACACUGCGCCGAAAAUGUACCGGGGCUAAACAUAUUACCGAAGCUGUGGAUUGUCCUUUGGACAAUGGUAGGAGAGCGUUCUAAGGGCGUUGAAGCAUGAUCGUAAGGACAUGUGGAGCGCUUAGAAGUGAGAAUGCCGGUGUGAGUAGCGAAAGACGGGUGAGAAUCCCGUCCACCGAUUGACUAAGGUUUCCAGAGGAAGGCUCGUCCGCUCUGGGUUAGUCGGGUCCUAAGCUGAGGCCGACAGGCGUAGGCGAUGGAUAACAGGUUGAUAUUCCUGUACCACCUAUAAUCGUUUUAAUCGAUGGGGGGACGCAGUAGGAUAGGCGAAGCGUGCGAUUGGAUUGCACGUCUAAGCAGUAAGGCUGAGUAUUAGGCAAAUCCGGUACUCAUUAAGGCUGAGCUGUGAUGGGGAGAAGACAUUGUGUCUUCGAGUCGUUGAUUUCACACUGCCGAGAAAAGCCUCUAGAUAGAAAAUAGGUGCCCGUACCGCAAACCGACACAGGUAGUCAAGAUGAGAAUUCUAAGGUGAGCGAGCGAACUCUCGUUAAGGAACUCGGCAAAAUGACCCCGUAACUUCGGGAGAAGGGGUGCUCUUUAGGGUUAACGCCCAGAAGAGCCGCAGUGAAUAGGCCCAAGCGACUGUUUAUCAAAAACACAGGUCUCUGCUAAACCGUAAGGUGAUGUAUAGGGGCUGACGCCUGCCCGGUGCUGGAAGGUUAAGAGGAGUGGU
rnacentral:rRNA from 1 species